rnacentral:rRNA from 1 species
GACGUAGGGCGCGAGCGUUGUCCGGAUUUAUUGGGCGUAAAGAGCUCGUAGGCGGCUUGUCGCGUCGUCCGUGAAAACUCACAGCUCAACUGUGAGCUUGCGGUCGAUACGGGCAGGCUAGAGUUCGGUAGGGGAGACUGGAAUUCCUGGUGUAGCGGUGAAAUGCGCAGAUAUCAGGAGGAACACCGGUGGCGAAGGCGGGUCUCUGGGCCGUAACUGACGCUGAGGAGCGAAAGCAUGGGGAGCGAACAGG